rnacentral:tRNA from 1 species
GGACAGGUGGGCGAGUGGUUAAUGCCGGCAGUCUGUAAAACUGCUCCCAUCGCGGGUCCGCUGGUUCGAAUCCAGCCCUGUCCACCA